ACUCCAUUUUCUAAUUUGUUUGUAAAAAUGAUACAAAAUAUUAAAACAUAAUACAGUUGGCCCUCCAGAUCCAUGGGUUCCAUAUCCAUGGAUUCAACCAACCACAGAUUGAAAAUAUUUUGAAAAAACUGUGUAUCUCUAUUGCAUAUGUACAGACUUUUUUUCUUGUCAUUGUUUUGUAUACAAUACAGCAUAACAGCUAUUUACAUAGCACUUAUAUUGUAUUAGGUAUUAUAAGUAACAUAUGGAGAUGAUUUACAGCCUAUGGGAGGAUAUGUGUAGUUUAUAUGUAAAUACUCUGCCAUGUAUAUCAGGGACUUGAGCAUCUAUGGAUUUUCGUAUCCAUGGUUAUGGUAUCUGUGGGGUAUUCUAGAGCCAAUCCCCCAUGGGUACUGAGGGAUGACUGUACUUAAAAAAUAGGCACACAAUCUCAUGAGUUAUCGUCACUUACGUACGAAAGCUUUUCUGGUUGUAAUUGUUGUUUUGUCAUGAAGAUAUUAAAGCCUUGGUCUCAAAUAAUUUUUAGGGAAUUAUUUCUUUUUUUUCUUUUUUUUUUUUUUGAGAUGGAAUCUCCCUCUGUCGCCCGGGCUGGAGUGCAGUGGCACGAUCUCGGCUUACCGCAACCUCCGCCUCCUGGGUUCAAACAAUUCUCCUGCCUCGGCCUCCUGAGUAGCUGGGAUUACAGGAAUCAAGUUUGCUAAGAGACCACCAGUGCUGAAUGCACUUUGUUCUGGCAAGAGCAGAAAACUGAGAAGCCGUGUUACCUACCACUACCUGGGAU
rnacentral:sRNA from 1 species